GAUGAAGAACGUAGCGAAAUGCGAUAAGUAAUGUGAAUUGCAGAAUUCAGUGAAUCAUCGAAUCUUUGAACGCACCUUGCGCUUCUUGGCAUUCCGAGCAGCAUGCCUGUUUGAGUGUCAUUAAAUCCUCAACCCCAUCUUCCUUGUGAAGUGGUCAGUUGGACUUUGGGAGCUGCUGGCUUGGUGUCAGCUCUUCUGAAAUAAAUUAGCAGGGAACCUUAUGUGCUGGACUGCAGCUUGGUAUUGAUAGUUGUCUUACCAGGUGACAGUCAGGCAUUUACUCUGCUCACAGCCGUCUCUAGCUUGAGACAAGUGACUUGACGAUUUGACCUCAAAUCAGGUAGGACUACCCGCUGAACUUAAGCAUAUCAAUAAGCGGAGGA
rnacentral:misc_RNA from 1 species